rnacentral:rRNA from 1 species
UACGGAGGUGGCAAGCGUUGUUCGGAAUUACUGGGCGUAAAGGGCGCGUAGGCGGCCUUCUAAGUCAGACGUGAAAUCCCCCGGCUUAACCUGGGAACUGCGUCUGAUACUGGAAGGCUUGAGUGCGGGAGAGGGAUGUGGAAUUCCAGGUGUAGCGGUGAAAUGCGUAGAUAUCUGGAGGAACACCGGUGGCGAAGGCGGCAUCCUGGACCGACACUGACGCUGAGGCGCGAAAGCUAGGGUAGCAAACGGG